rnacentral:lncRNA from 1 species
CAGUAAUCCCCGUUUGCAGUGGCAGCUCCUUUCCUUCUGAGGCAACGGCAAUGAGGGGGUUGAGGAAUUUCAGUUCAGCCUCAGCCUCUCCCUCAGACGCCAAGUCUUGUGAGUUUCAUGCGUGGACCCACCGUAUCCUGCUAAAACAAACAGCAUUGAGGAGGCUGUACCCAGAGACAAAGAGCCAGUCGCUGCAGGAUUCACCAGGUUCAGAACCUUCCCCACCCUGACCCCAUCAUCACCGCUGCUCUCCAGGACCUUGCCCAGAUAAUCCCGCAGUCCAUGGCCCCUCAGAGACCCGUGUGGUCCACAAGGCAGGAAACAGCUUGAGGCUAGUCCAGCAUCCAAGGCUGUGAGAGGGCAGAGGACACGGUGGAAAAAUGCGGGGCUUUCCUCGAAUGAGCGUCCGGCGGUGCUCAUAAAUGCAGCGUCCUCAGCUAUCUUUUGGUGGCUUGUGAUGAUAAAGCAAGAAUGUCUUUACAGUAUUGGACUGAAAACCCUGUAGCUUGUGAUGUGUGUGUGAGUUUCCCACAGAACUGAGCUCGACUGAAACCAUGGCUUGAAUGUUUGGGCUUCAAGUCUUCCCAACGACUUCUCAUGGCAGAGAGGUCAUGUUUUUUAACAAUGAGAGGUAUCAGCUUUAACAGCAUGAUGCAUGUAUUCAUGCUCACCUUCAUGUGAAUGCUUCCAACGCUUUGUUCGAAAACAUCCCUGGUGAACACAGUGUUGAAUAUGGAAUUGGGCAUGUUAAAGCUGGAAUAAUAGUUCAUAUUCUAAACAGUCAAGCAACGAUGAUGCUGAUGCUGAUGAAGGGUGAAAGUUCUGUUAAGCAAUGCUUUAGAGCAGCAGAACAUGAUUAAAUUAUUAGUAGCUAACAUUGGAUCGCAAAUGGAAGAGCUCUCUCUUCCAUUUACAUUUAAGAGUUGUAUCUCAGAAGUCGUGUACAGAGGAGAAAUGUGUACUACUACUGUAGAAGGAGGGGGGGGGGGGGGGGUGCAGCUGUGAGCUAGUUAGCAAAUCGCUCUGAGAGCCCUUAGAUCUGCCUGGUAGUCGCAGCGACAUGGGGUUAAGAUAAGAGGAGUGUGUCUACAUGCUUCAGAGCGAAGACCCAGCGCAAACGAAAGGGAUUGGUACUCAGGUUGAAAGGGUAGCCUACUAGCCUACAUUUUCAUCCCGCCGUGUGUAAAGGGGAUACAUACAUAGAUGGACAGAGCGUUGAAUUCCAAAUUAACUUGCCAACCGGU